GACGAACGCUGGCGGCGUGCUUAACACAUGCAAGUCGAGCGAUGAAGCUCCUUCGGGAGUGGAUUAGCGGCGGACGGGUGAGUAACACGUGGGCAACCUGCCUUAUAGAGAGGAAUAGCCAUCCGAAAGGAUGAUUAAUACCUCAUAAUAUUGUAGCUUCGCAUGGAGCAACAAUCAAAGGAGCAAUCCACUAUAAGAUGGGCCCGCGGCGCAUUAGCUAGUUGGUGAGGUAACGGCUCACCAAGGCGAAGAUGCGUAGCCGACCUGAGAGGGUGAUCGGCCACAUUGGGACUGAGAAACGGCCCAGACUCCUACGGGAGGCAGCAGUGGGUGAUAUUGCACAAUGGGGGAAACCCUGAUGCAGCAACGCCGCGUGAGUGAUGACGGCCUUCGGGUUGUAAAGCUCUUUCUUCAGGGACGAUAAUGACGGUACCUGAGGAGGAAGCCACGGCUAACUACGUGCCAGCCGCCGCAGUAACAC
rnacentral:rRNA from 1 species